GAUGAACGCUGGCGGCGUGCCUAAUACAUGCAAGUCGAGCGAACAGACGAGGAGCUUGCUCCUCUGACGUUAGCGGCGGACGGGUGAGUAACACGUGGAUAACCUACCUAUAAGACUGGGAUAACUUCGGGAAACCGGAGCUAAUACCGGAUAAUAUAUUGAACCGCAUGGUUCAAUAGUGAAUGACGGUGUUGCUGUCACUUAUAGAUGGAUCCGCGCCGCAUUAGCUAGUUGGUAAGGUAACGGCUUACCAAGGCAACGAUGCGUAGCCGACCUGAGAGGGUGAUAGGCCACACUGGAACUGAGACACGGUCCAGACUCCUACGGGAGGCAGCAGUAGGGAAUCUUCCGCAAUGGGCGAAAGCUUGACGGAGCAACGCCGCGUGAGUGAUGAAGGUCUUCGGAUCGUAAAACUCUGUUAUUAGGGAAGAACAAAUGUGUAAGUAACUAUGCACGUCUUGACGGUACCUAAUCAGAAAGCCACGGCUAACUACGUG
rnacentral:rRNA from 1 species